rnacentral:rRNA from 1 species
CAGUAGCCGCGGGAAUACGUAGGUGGCAAGCGUUGUCCGGAAUUAUUGGGCGUAGAGGGCUCGCAGGCGGCUCCUUAAGUCUGAUGUGAAAGCCCACGGCUCAACCGUGGAGGGUCAUUGGAAACUGGGAGACUUGAGUGCAGAAGAGGAGAGCGGAAUUCCAUGUGUAGCGGUAAAAUGCGUAGAUAUAUGGAGGAACACCAGUGGCGAAGGCGGCUCUCUGGUCUGUAACCGACGCUGAGGCUCGAAAGCGUGGGGAGCAAACAGGAUUAGAUACCCCAGUAGUCCCUGUCUCUUAUAC